GAUGAACGCUGGCGGCGUGCCUAAUACAUGCAAGUCGAGCGAACAGACGAGGAGCUUGCUCCUCUGACGUUAGCGGCGGACGGGUGAGUAACACGUGGAUAACCUACCUAUAAGACUGGGAUAACUUCGGGAAACCGGAGCUAAUACCGGAUAAUAUAUUGAACCGCAUGGUUCAAUAGUAAAAGACGGUUUUGCUGUCACUUAUAGAUGGAUCCGCGCCGCAUUAGCUAGUUGGUAAGGUAACGGCUUACCACGGCAACGAUGCGUAGCCGACCUGUGAGGGUGAUCGGCCACACUGGAACUGAGACACGGUCCAGACGCCUACGGGAGGCAGCAGUAGGGAAUCGGCCGCAAUGGGCGAAAGCCUGACGGAGCAACGCGGAGUGAGUGAUGAAGGUCUUCGGAUCGUAAAACUCUGUUAUUAGGGAAGAACAAAUGUGUAAGUAACUAUGCACGUCUUGACGGUACCUAAUCAGAAAGCCACGGCUAACUACGUG
rnacentral:rRNA from 1 species